rnacentral:rRNA from 1 species
UAGGGAAUCUUCGGCAAUGGGGGGAACCCUGACCGAGCAACGCCGCGUGAGUGAAGAAGGUUUUCGGAUCGUAAAGCUCUGUUGUUAAGGAAGAACGAGUGUGAGAAUGGAAAGUUCAUACUGUGACGGUACUUAACCAGAAAGGGACGGCUAACUACGUGCCAGCAGCCGCGGUAAUACGUAGGUCCCGAGCGUUGUCCGGAUUUAUUGGGCGUAAAGCGAGCGCAGGCGGUUAGAUAAGUCUGAAGUUAAAGGCAGUGGCUCAACCAUUGUAGGCUUUGGAAACUGUUUAACUUGAGUGCAGAAGGGGGGGGUGGAAUUCCAUGUGUAGCGGUGAAAUGCGUAGAUAUAUGGAGGAACACCGGUGGCGAAAGCGGCUCUCUGGUCUGUAACUGACGCGGAGGCUCGAAAGCGUGGGGAGCGAACAGG